GCUACCAGAUGACGAGCGGCGGACGGGUGAGUAAUGCUUAGGAAUCUACCUAGUAGUGGGGGAUAGCUCGGGGAAACUCGAAUUAAUACCGCAUACGUCCUACGGGAGAAAGCAGGGGAUCUUUGGACCUUGCGCUAUUAGAUGAGCCUAAGUCGGAUUAGCUAGUUGGUGGGGUAAAGGCCUACCAAGGCGACGAUCUGUAGCUGGUCUGAGAGGAUGAUCAGCCACACUGGGACUGAGACACGGCCCAGACUCCUACGGGAGGCAGCAGUGGGGAAUAUUGGACAAUGGGGGGAACCCUGAUCCAGCCAUGCCGCGUGUGUGAAGAAGGCCUUUUGGUUGUAAAGCACUUUAAGCAGUGAAGAAGAAGUUAUGGUUAAUACCCAUAAUGGAUGACAUUAGCUGCAGAAUAAGCACCGGCUAACUCUGUGCCAGCAGCCGCGGUAAUACAGAGGGUGCGAGCGUUAAUCGGAAUUACUGGGCGUAAAGCGAGCGUAGGUGGCUUAAUAAGUCAGAUGUGAAAUCCCCGGGCUUAACCUGGGAACUGCAUCUGAAACUGUUCGGCUAGAGUAGGUGAGAGGGAAGUAGAAUUCCAGGUGUAGCGGUGAAAUGCGUAGAGAUCUGGAGGAAUACCGAUGGCGAAGGCAGCUUCCUGGCAUCAUACUGACACUGAGGUUCGAAAGCGUGGGUAGCAAACAGGAUUAGAUACCCUGGUAGUCCACGCCGUAAACGAUGUCUACUAGUCGUUGGGUCCCUUGA
rnacentral:rRNA from 1 species